GCUUACGGCCAUACCUGCCUGAAAUGCUCCCGAUCUCCGUCGGAUCUCGGAAGCUAAGUAGGGUCAGGCCUGUUGUAGGACUUGGAUGGGAGACCGCCUGGGAAUACCCGGUGCUGUAAGGU
rnacentral:rRNA from 1 species